ensembl:rRNA 5S_rRNA 5S ribosomal RNA
GUCUAUGUCCAUUCCACCCUGAACGUGCCAGAUCUCAUCUGAUCUCGGAAGCUAAGCAGGGUCGGGCCUGGUUAGUACUUGGAUGGGAGAAAUUGUGUCAUUUAUGACU